rnacentral:rRNA from 1 species
CCUACGGGGGGCAGCAGUGAGGAAUAUUGGACAAUGGAUGGAAAUCUGAUCCAGCCAUGCCGCGUGCAGGAAGACGGCCCUAUGGGUUGUAAACUGCUUUUGUGUGGGAGCAAUAAGGUCUAUGCGUAGACUGAUGAGAGUACCAUACGAAUAAGCAUCGGCUAACUCCGUGCCAGCAGCCGCGGUAAUACGGGGGAUGCAGGCGUUAUCCGGAUUAAUUGGGUUUAAGGCGGGCGGAUAAGUUUUGGUGGAAAUAUUUCAGCGUAACUGAAAGGGUGCCGUUGAUACUGUCAGGCUUGAAUAUGGUUGCUGUGGGUGGAAUGUGUGGUGUAGCGGUGAAAUGCUUAGAUAUCACACAGAAUAUCGAGUGCGAAGGCAGCUCACAAAGCCAUUAUUGACGCUGAUGCACGAAAGUGUGGGGAUCAAACAGGAUUAGAUACCCCUGUAGUC